rnacentral:lncRNA from 1 species
UUAGACGUUUUUUGUAAUCUUUCUAGAUUAUUGGAUUAAGUCCUUAUUGAAGGCGAAAUCACCUUGGUCGGGUGGACUGGAGUAGCUUUGAUUUUCAAGCGAACCAGGAUAAACUUAUGUGUUACUUGUUAUUAUCUUUGUGUGUGUAGCGUAUCCAAAAGUUUUUAUUGUCCGUGAAAACAAUUCAAACCCCCAUUUAUUUUUUU